rnacentral:lncRNA from 1 species
UUUUUUUAAGAACAAAUGUCUUCGGACUUCCUACAAUACCUUGUCUAUACUUGUAAAAAAAACCUCAAAAUAACGUGUUUGCUUUGAGCAGAACCUUUCAUGUGUCUUGUCAUGUCUUGUGACGGUUGAUGAAAAUGAAGAUGAUGAAGAUAAUGGUUGAUUUGGUAUCAAGCUUGUUGCACUGGUACACCCAAGUUAGGAGAGUGUUGGCGCACCCUUAGAGAAAAAAGUUAAACCCCGCCACAUUUUGUAUGUGUCAGUUUCAAGUCACGAGACGGUAAUGCAGUGUUUGUUUUUUUUUCUAUAUACUAUAUUUGUGUGUUUCUUAUUUAUUUUGUACAUUAAUCGGGCUGUUAGAUUUUUCGUUUGUUUUACAUUAUUUAUUUCGGGAAUUGAAGACUAUGCAGUAUGAAUUUUACUCAUUGUUGAAGGCCGUACGGGACCUAUAACUGUAAGUUAAUGUAUGUCUCAUUUGCAUUCAUAUCACAUCUUUCUUUUUUAUAUGGAAUACUUUUGAAGUUUGUGGUACGUUGCAAGGAAAAAAAGGGGGGAUAUAGGUACAAACCCUAUAAUGUAAUAGAUUUUAACCAAAGUAAAAUACACAACAACAGAUAAUACUAUGGAAGCAAUAAUAACUGUGAAAAACGCAAAAGCAACGAGUAGUCUAUAAGAAAACCUGAAGUAUCCACAAAUUCAAUUUUAGGUCAUAUUUGACUGUAGUGUUCUAUUGCUUUGGUUUGAUACCUCACCCAAUAUGAUAGUUUAAAAAAUAAUUUUAAAGUUUUGUCCUGCAUGACACUUGAUGUUUACCUGAAAUUGAAAUUUGUCAGAAGG